UCCUCUGUGAACUACGAUGCUGAAUGAGUC
rnacentral:piRNA from 1 species